UCACAAUUGACGAGUCCAAAACAGGAUGAAACAGCUGUCCAGUGU
rnacentral:hammerhead_ribozyme from 1 species